AACGAACGCUGGCGGCAGGCUUAACACAUGCAAGUCGAGCGAGACCUUCGGGUCUAGCGGCGGACGGGUGUGUAACGCGUGGGAACGUGCCCUUCUCUACGGAAUAGCCCCGGGAAACUGGGAGUAAUACCGUAUACGCCCUAUGGGGGAAAGAUUUUUCGGAGAAGGAUCGGCCGGCGUUGGAUAAGGUAGUUGUUGGGGUAAUGGCCCACCAAGCCGUGCAUCCAUAGCUGGUUUGUGAGGCUGGUCAGCGACACUGGGACUGAGAAGCGGCCGAGACUCCUGCGGGAGGCAGCAGUGGGGGAUCUUGGAAAAUGGCGGCAACCCUGAUGUACCCAUGCCGCGUGAGUGAUGAAGGUCUUAAAGUUGUAAAGCUCUUUCAGCUGGGAAGAUAAUGACGGUACCAAAAGAAAAAGCCCCGGCUAACUCCGUG
rnacentral:rRNA from 1 species